rnacentral:lncRNA from 1 species
CGCAGUGCAGCCCCCUCCGGCGCCGUUAGCGUCAACGCCACCGUCUCCAACUCUCCAUUGCCACUUUGUCAUCCACCAUCAGUCCAUCACUCUGCCAUCACAGCCACCACUACCAGCCGCAUGUAUUGAUUUUUUUCCUUCCAUAUUUUGUCUUCCCAUUUGCAUUUUUGCCGAUUGCUUCUCUGUUGGUGUUGGCUGUUGCUAUUCGUGUUUAUCUUCUGCCAAUUUUGUGCAUGGUUGCUGACUUGCUGUUGCUGUGAGGCUAAGUGGUUUUGACCGUAGAAUAUGAGGAAAAUAUGGCCAAUAUUGUGACUUGCUGACUUGCUGUUGCUGUGAGGCUUAUUGCCUGCUCGUGUAAUAUACAAUAGCACUAUUGCUGACUUGCUGUUCCGAUCCGACAAGUUAUAAUGUUAUAUUACAA